CCUUUUUGGAUGGGGAUACCAUGAGUACAAGAUGUAACCAGAGGACAAGAUGUAGCUCCGAGUGUCUCAAAGUUUCAAUGGUGGAUCUGCCAGGAUUAGCCACUGGAGGAUUUAGAUUUAAUAAGGCUUACAAGCUUAGGAUUUUAGUUGUUGUGUCCAGCGAUUGAGUUUCCGUCAUUUUUGAACUAAGUUUGUGUUGUGUUUUCCUUCACGAGGCGGCUCGUCUGGGUUCAAGAGAGAAAGUCUGUGAUUGUCCUUCUGAUGUCCUGACCAACCCUUCCACAGAGAAGAAUUAUACAGAAAUGUUACUACAAGGAAGUAGGGCUCGUUUGGACCCAUCUUGGAAGUCACCCACCCAGAGCACUCAGAUAUAUUUUCCGAGAAGUGAUGGACUGCUCUGAUGAGUCGUAAGCACUGUGAACUCAGUCCACUCCGUCUCAUCUACCAUGAGAACCUCGGUAUCUAGCAAUGCCAAAUACUUUAUAACAUUAGUGCUUUCAUUCCGGGGGACUGUAGAUGAAAGUAUUCUACUUUUAUUGUAUCUCAACUCUUAAUAUGGGUAUUGUAAAAUGACUAUGAAAUUAAGUAAUUUUAGAACCACAGAGAACAUGUGUUACUAAAGCUCUCCCACAGGGUCAUCCCCCAAGCAAAAUCAAGGAGCUAAGAAAGUUUCUUACUUCUCACUCGCCCCUGCAUCUCUCCCCUGCUCCAUUGCCCUGUGUGUGCACUAUUCAGCUCAAUAGGGAGGGACACUUGUCAUGCAGGGUGUACUUUUACAUACCUUGAAAGUGCCACUUGGAGAUAAUGAUCAUGUACAAAUCAAUAUCUCAUUCAAAGUUAAUAAAAGC
ensembl:lincRNA C78283 expressed sequence C78283